rnacentral:tRNA from 1 species
UCCCUGGUAGGUCGAGUGGUUAAGACUCCAUGCUUCAAAUGCAGGAGGUGCAGGUUUGAUCCCUGGUCAGGGAA